GCUUAACACAUGCAAGUCGAGCGAGAAUCGUUUUGCUGAAGGCUUCGGUCUGACGCAGAAUGAGGAAAGCGGCGAACGGGUGAGUAACGCGUGGGCAACCUGGCCUUAAGAAAAGGAUAGCCCCCGGAAACGGGGAGUAAUACUUUAUGAGAAUGAAAGAGGGCAUCCUACUUUCAUUCAAAGCGCAAGCGCUUAAGGAUGGGCCCGCGUAUCAUUAGCUAGUUGGUGAGAUAACAGCCCACCAAGGCAACGAUGAUUAGCCGGUCUGAGAGGGCGAACGGCCACAUUGGAACUGAGAGACGGUCCAAACUCCUACGGGAGGCAGCAGUGGGGAAUAUUGCGCAAUGGAGAAGAACUCUGACGCAGCAAUACCGCGUGAGCGAAGAAGGUCUUCGGAUCGUAAAGCUCUGUUAUCAGGGAAGAAGAAAAUGACGGUACCUGAUGAGCAAGUCCCGGCUAACUACGUGCCAGCCGCCGCGGUAA
rnacentral:rRNA from 1 species